AUUGAACGCUGGCGGAAUGCUUUACACAUGCAAGUCGAACGGCAGCACGGACUUCGGUCUGGUGGCGAGUGGCGAACGGGUGAGUAAUACAUCGGAACGUGCCCAGUCGUGGGGGAUAACGUAGCGAAAGCUACGCUAAUACCGCAUACGAUCUAAGGAUGAAAGCGGGGGAUCGCAAGACCUCGCGCGAUUGGAGCGGCCGAUGGCAGAUUAGGUAGUUGGUAGGGUAAAGGCCUACCAAGCCGACGAUCUGUAGCUGGUCUGAGAGGAUGAUCAGCCACACUAGGACAGAGACACGGCCGAGACUCAUACGGGAGGCAGCAGUGGGGAAUUUUGGACAAUGGGCGCAAGCCUGAUCCAGCCAUUCCGCGUGCAGGAUGAAGGCCUUCGGGUUGUAAACUGCGUUUGUACAGAACGAAAAGGCUCUGGUUAAUACCCGGGGCUCAUGACGGUACUGUAAGAAUAAGCACCGGCUAACUUCGUGCCAGCAGCCGCGGUAACAC
rnacentral:rRNA from 1 species